UACGUAGGGGGCAAGCGUUGUCCGGAUUUAUUGGGCGUAAAGAGCGUGUAGGCGGCCUGAAAGGUCAGCUGUGAAAACUCGAGGCUCAACCUCGAGACGUCGGUUGAAACCAUCUGGCUAGAGUCCGGAAGAGGAGUGUGGAAUUCCCGGUGUAGCGGUGAAAUGCGCAGAUAUCAGGAGGAACACCAAUUGCGAAGGCAGCUCGCUGGGACGUUACUGACGCUGAGACGCGAAAGCGUGGGGAGCAAACAGG
rnacentral:rRNA from 1 species